AGACAAAAAAUUGGGCAAUGUCCACUGUUGCGAGUUCUAUCGAUUUUGAAGCUGACGAGUCCCCAAAAUGGUGGGGGAAAGACACACAAGGUCUUACUGUAAAGAAAAUGAUUGAAGAAAUUAGACAAUACCAGAUCCAAUGGAAAAAUCAGAAGGACUCUACUAGUACUGAUGGGAAAAUUCCUAAACAGGUUGAUCACGAUUUUUUAAGCAAAUUUCUUUACCAUAUAAACAUUGAAGAAGGGCAUGGGUGUGAUACGAUGGAAGGAGUUAAAUCUUGCCUCAUCAUAGAUACUAUCACUCCACAGCGGCCUUUAUCUGAAAAGGAAAAGGAAACUGUAAACCUACGAGAUGCUUAUGAAUACCUUCUCGACGAGGUCAAGAGAGUCGAAGAUAGUGGUGAGGCCACAAAAUUGCAUGGGUUACUAGAAAUAAAUUUAGUUAAGCAUGUACACAAGUUGAUCCUUAAAGAUAUUGAGUUGCCCAAGAACUUAACUAAACCUGGUGAAUUCAGUAAAGGUAAGCGAUGUACAAGUUUUAGAGGGGAAGAGUAUUUUUACGCGAACCCGGAAGAUUUGGAAAGAAAGGUACAGACACUAUUGGACAGGUACAAUGAUUUGAUAACAUAUUGUGUGAAAGACGAGGAAAAUUUGGAGGACCAAAUUUAUAAGAUGUUCAAGACUUGCAGCUGGCUGUUGUUUGAACUUUUGGACUUGCACCCUUUCAGCGACGGCAACGGUAGAUUGUGCCGAUUACUCUGUAGUUAUGCAUUAUCAUCUAUGACACCAUUUCCCACCCCGAUUUAUAAUGUUUGGAGUGAAUCGAAGAAAGAUGAUUAUAUAGAAGCUUUGGUAGAUGCAAGGAAGUCAAAAAACAGGCAACCCACAAGUUUGACGACAAUGAUUAUUGAAUGCAAUUAUCGUGGCUGGAAGAGAUUUUUCGAAAAAAGGUAAUUAAUCGACUUUUUCGUAGAUAUUGAACGAAGUUGGUUUUUUUUAAAUUCAUAAACCUGUAUAGCCGGGAGAAGUAAGUCUGAGUCUGAAUAAGGCUUGUGACGUCAAAUCGGGAACGGAAGUAAUAGAAUCCUUGUCAUUUUAUACCUUGCCACAGUAACAUCCGAAUGCAACACAACCUGAAGGCAUUUUUCUGUCAAAUGUUUGACCAAAUCCUCAAAACCUACAUGAGAGCCACUACUUCCGUUCCCGAUUUGACGUCACAAGCUUUUUUCAAACUCUUCUCUCCCGGCCAUAUUUUAAGAAAGCAUAUAGAUUAGAGGAACUGAGGAAGUCAUGUUUAGAACCAAAUAUGCCCGGUAAUAGUUAUCGGAUGGUCGAAUGUAAUAUAUCAUACAACUUUUAGAGAGGAAAUAAAUACGUCUAAAUACAUC